CGAACGGAUGUAGCAAUACAUUAGUGGCGCACGGGUGAGUAAUACAUGGGAACGUGCCCUUCAGUAUGGAAUAACGUCGGGAAACUGACGCUAAUACCGUAUACUCCCUCCGGGGGAAAGAUUUAUCGCUGAAGGAUCGGCCCAUGCCAGAUUAGUUUGUUGGUGGGGUAAUGGCCUACCAAGACUACGAUCUGUAGCUGUUCUGAGAGGAAGACCAGCCACACUGGAACUGAGACACGGUCCAGACUCC
rnacentral:rRNA from 1 species